rnacentral:rRNA from 1 species
CAGUCGCCGCGGGAACACGUAGGGUGCAAGCGUUAAUCGGAAUUACUGGGCGUAAAGCGUGCGCAGGCGGUUAUAUAAGACAGAUGUGAAAUCCCCGGGCUCAACCUGGGAACUGCAUUUGUGACUGUAUAGCUAGAGUACGGCAGAGGGGGAUGGAAUUCCGCGUGUAGCAGUGAAAUGCGUAGAUAUGCGGAGGAACACCGAUGGCGAAGGCAAUCCCCUGGGCCUGUACUGACGCUCAUGCACGAAAGCGUGGGGAGCAAACAGGAUUAGAUACCCCCGUAGUCCCUGUCUCUUAUAA